ACUUGGACGUAGUUACGCGAAAACGUUCCAACCCACAGCGACCCCAUUUUGAGAUAAACGCAGUUUUGUGUUUUAGCGGUACACUUUUUCCCUGUAAUUAUUUCAGGCAAAUACUAUUGGUUUUACUGUGGAAUGCCAAACUGGUUAUUGAAUGAUAUGCAUAUUUUUUGUAAAUACAUAAUACAAGGGGCAUAUAAAUAGGUAAAACGAGUUUGAAACGUUUUUGCUAAAUUUAAUUUUGUAUGAACCUUGUUAAAUAGCAAUUAUGCAUAAACGUUCCAAAACGAAUUUAAGUGUAUUAUUUAUUUUUAUAAAUAUAUCUAAAAUAAAUUUAAUAUGUAAAAUAAUAAAUAACAAUGAGGAACAUACAAAAACAACAAAAACAAACUUGAAAAUGUAUUACAAAAAAAAUAGGACGUGAUAUUUUGAGCUUAGAACCUAUGUCAAAAAUUUGCUGAUAUGGUUCCAAAAGUUAUCAAAAACUUAUAUUAAACAUUCAAUCAUCAUCGUAUUCUAUGAUCUCGAAGUCCGGAACUCCACCAAACCCAUCAACAUCAUCAGUAGCUUCAUCAGAACUUUGAAGCGUUCUAUAAAAUUGAAGGCAAUCCUCAGGUAUGUAGUGUUACAAUUAGUGGACUUCCACUAAUUUCGCUGGAGCAAUCGGUUUGCCAUUAGGCCACAAUAAACAAAAAGCGGCCAAAUUCUUUUAUGUAUUGCAGUUCUCGCUUUAUUCUUUUAUCAAUUUUCAACUCAUUGAAAUCGUCUUCCAUCGUAGACCGCAUAAAAAUAGAAAACAUUUUGUCUUUAUCCAACUUAAUUUCUUUUGUGUGUAGCCAACUAACUUUAGAUAAAUCUGUAAACUUCUUCCUAUUGAUAAUC